rnacentral:misc_RNA from 1 species
UUUCCGUAGGUGAACCUGCGGAAGGAUCAUUACAGAGUUCAUGCCCGAAAGGGUAGACCUCCCACACUUGUGUAUUAUUACUUUGUUGCUUUGGCGCGCGCCAGCUCGCCAAAGAAUACAAAAACUCUUUUUAUUUAUGUCGUCUGAGUACUAUAUAAUAGUUAAAACUUUCAACAACGGAUCACUUGGUUCUG